UAUCAACACGCUCAAUGCAACCAGAGACCUACUAUAAGAAAGCGAGUAAAAUGAGAGAUUUGUCCUUGAGUGAUGUGCAUGUAAUACCAGUUGAUGAUAUCAUGAGUAGAGAUCAAGGCAGAGAUAUGUUGGCACUAAUUGUUGCCCAGUCAAGGGAUUCUAGUGGUAGCCCUGUCAGGGAUUAAGUUACCUUCUCUCAGUAUUGGCUUACAAAGAAUCAGCAGCUUAGCAUUAAGGCUAAAUGCAUCAGUUCAUUUACCAAGGAUAGGUCACUCUACUCCUCAUUUCAAUUGGUAUGGUACUGAGAGACUAAUCAGAAAACAUCUCUCAAGCAAAGGAAUACCAACCUUUAUUUAUUAUUUUCCACGUUAUGGACAACACAAAACUAUACCAAGUGUCAGCCCUGAACUUCAUACUAAAGUAGUGGAUCCAUUACCUGAAAUAUUUACCGAUGUCAGUGUCUGUUUCUAUGGAAUUGAUGAGAGCACCAAACUCUCUCUAACCCGUUAUAUAAUAGC